rnacentral:rRNA from 1 species
UUCUGACCUCAAAUCGAGGA